GAUGAACGCUGGCGGCGUGCCUAAUACAUGCAAGUCGAACGGGGAGUCGCAAUACUCUUAGUGGCGAACGGGUGAGUAACGCGUUGGUACCUGCCCCGAAGCGGGGGAUAACGGACCGAAAGGUCCGCUAAUACCCCAUGUGCUCGGUAACGAGUAAAGGUGAAAACCACUUUGGGAGGGGCCUGCGUCCCAUCAGCUAGUUGGUAAGGUAACGGCUUACCAAGGCGAUGACGGGUAGGGGACCUGAGAGGGUGGCCCCCCACAAUGGAACUGAAACACGGUCCAUACACCUACGGGUGGCAGCAGUAGGGAAUAUUGGUAAUGGGCGCAAGCCUGAACCAGCAACGCCGCGUGUGCGAUGACGGCCUUCGGGUUGUAAAGCACUUUUGACGGGGACGAGGAAGGACGGUACCGGUCGAAUCAGCCUCGGCUAACUACGUG
rnacentral:rRNA from 1 species